UGCGCAUCAAGUGGGCUACAGUUUGUAGAUGCUGCCUGUUGUUUGCUCUUGUUUUCAUUCACGCUCUUCCUCACUUUUGGUUUCUGUCUUCCUGGUAUGUUGGAACGGUUCCAUGAGCCGCAUCACCACAUUUUCGGACGGUCUCUCUCCAUUGGGACGACUGGGGUCCUUGCUGAGGUACUUCACUUUUUCUCCAACGGUUCAAAAACAUUCAUUUGAGGUUGACUGCUGACUCCAAACUGUCAGAAGGUGAGAAUAUACUGUAUUUCUCUCUGUCUCUUCCCAGUGAUGAACAUGUGAUCAAUAAACACUCC